rnacentral:rRNA from 1 species
ACUGGGGCUAAUGCUCCAUAGUGGAUAUGUCCUGGAAUGGUAUAUCCUCGAAAGAUCCGUCGCCUUAGGAUGGGACUGCGUCCGAUUAGGUUGUUGGCGGGGUAACGGCCCACCAAGCCUUUUAUCGGUACGGGUUGUGGGAGCAAGAUCCCGGAGAUGGAUUCUGAGACAUGAAUCCAGGCCCUACGGGGCGCAGCAGGCGCGCAAACUUUACAAUGCGAGCAAUCGUGAUAAGGAAACCCUGAGUGCCUGUCGAUGCAGGCUGUUCAUAUAUCUAAAUCAUAUGUGAAGAAAGGGCAGGGCAAGACCGGUGCCAGCCGCCGCGGUAAUACCGGCUGCUCGAGUGAUGGCCACUAUUACUGGGUUUAAAGCGUCCGUAGCUUGACUGUUAGGUCUCUUGGGAAAUCUUCGCGCUCAACGUGAAGGCGUCUAAGAGAUACCGGCAGUCUUGGAACUGGGAGAGGUAAACCGUACUUCGGGGGUAGGAGUGAAAUCUUGUAAUCCUCGAGGGACGACCUAUGGCGAAGGCAGUUUACCAGAACAGCUUCGACAGUGAGGGACGAAAGCUGGGGGAGCAAACGGGAUUAGAUACCCCGGUAGUCCCAGCCGUAAACAAUGUGCGUUAGGUGUGUCGGUAACCACGUGUUACUGAUGCGCCGAAGAGAAAUCGUGAAACGCACCACCUGGGAAGUACGGUCGCAAGGCUGAAACUUAAAGGAAUUGGCGGGGGAGCACCACAACAGGUGGAGCCU